rnacentral:pre_miRNA from 1 species
CAUUGAAAUCGGCUGGGGUAGCGUGUCGUUUUAUUGGCAAUCACCGGCUUUUUCAAUCAA